rnacentral:tRNA from 1 species
AGAGGGGUGGAGCAGCCUGGUAGCUCGUCGGGCUCAUAACCCGAAGGUCGUCGGUUCAAAUCCGGCCCCCGCAACCA